GAAAAUAGGAAGCAACACUUCCUCUAUGUAAAUUAUACCGUUGGAGAGAAGUGAAUCUUCUGUUUUGUUGGACUUCACUUUUUAAUCUUUGAAGCACGACGAGCAUGGAGAACACAGUCAACUAACGGACAGCAAAUUGAAUGAGAGACGACAUGAGUGACAUGACGUACGCUGUGGUCAACAAACCCAAACAGCCACACCCACCGUCUGAAAACAGAACACUGCAUGGCUCCCAUCACUAUGACAACGAGCCACAGCCCACAACAGCGCCGUUGUACAGCAUGGUUGGAACUCCGGAGGGCGCUGUGAACUCAGUUUGUACUGCCAAACGCACGGCGGUAUUGGCAGGAUUAGCGAUUAGCGCUAGUGCGGAACAGGUUUCAGGCACACACAACGAUUACGAAGACUUUUCCACCUCGGUGACAGAUAUGAACGACAUGUGUGUGUGUGACAGCCUAGGUCAGUGGAUAUUCUACAAAUGUUUUCCAAGCUAGGCGGAAAGAGAAUUUAAUUGCCGGGUUCAGAAGCCAAGCGGACCCAGACCACCACCUGCUGGCUGGACAUGACAGGUGGCCACCAAGCACAAUUGGACGUGUUCGUAAUUUGUACUAUAUAUGUUUGUUCUUGUCUAAAUUAAAACAAAUUAUCAAGUACUUGUCUGAAACAUGAAUUUAGAG